UACGUAGGGUGCGAGCGUUAAUCGGAAUUACUGGGCGUAAAGUGUGCGCAGGCGGCUUCGCAAGUCGAGUGUGAAAUCCCCGAGCUUAACUUGGGAAUUGCGCUCGAAACUACGGAGCUGGAGUGUGGCAGAGGAAGGUGGAAUUCCACGUGUAGCGGUGAAAUGCGUAGAGAUGUGGAGGAACACCGAUGGCGAAGGCAGCCCCCUGGGAUAACACUGACGCUCAUGCACGAAAGCGUGGGGAGCAAACAGG
rnacentral:rRNA from 1 species